rnacentral:rRNA from 1 species
AGAGUUUGAUCAUGGCUCAGGACGAACGCUGGCGGCGUGCUUAACACAUGCAAGUCGAACGGAAAGGCCCUUCGGGGUACUCGAGUGGCGAACGGGUGAGUAACACGUGGGUGAUCUGCCUCGUACUUUGGGAUAAGCCUGGGAAACUGGGUCUAAUACCGAAUAUGACCUCUGGAUGCAUGUCUGGUGGUGGAAAGUUUUUCGGUACGAGAUGGGCCCGCGGCCUAUCAGCUUGUUGGUGGGGUAAUGGCCUACCAAGGCGACGACGGGUAGCCGGCCUGAGAGGGCGACCGGCCACACUGGGACUGAGACACGGCCCAGACUCCUACGGGAGGCAGCAGUGGGGAAUAUUGCACAAUGGGCGCAAGCCUGAUGCAGCGACGCCGCGUGAGGGAUGACGGCCUUCGGGUUGUAAACCUCUUUCACCAGGGACGAAGAGUGAUUGACGGUACCUGGAGAAGAAGCACCGGCCAACUACGUGCCAGCCGCCGCGGUAAUUC